CCCUCUGUUUUGGGCAAAAUAUUUUGCAAUUUUCCAAUGACCUUGCCAAUAAGAAAAUUAUUACCCAUAUAUCAUGGGAAAUGCCUGCUUUCUCCCAGGGCUGUAACGUUAAACUAUCACCAGUAAAAGACUGUGCUGGCUGCAAGUUUGGCAGGAACACGAAGAUCUUCUGGUAUGGUACGUUGCAUGAACUAUUGACUUGAGGAUGCCAAAAACUUCACCCCACUUUAAAUGAGCUCCAUUUUUUAAAAUAAAUCAGCACAUGAAUUGGAUGUGUUUAUUCCAGCAAAUCAGAGUGUCAGCCCCUGCACUGGGCUGACAUCACUGGCAUUUUUAUAAGAGGAUUCGAUCGGGAGUUAACAGUCGGAUUACUUAAUCAUCCCCCGGAACGGUUCUGUUGAGUUCUGAAGGCCGGAGGACAGCCGAGUGACCAUUUUUGCAGCUAAGUGUUAAAAUUGUCUUGACUCAAAGUGUCCCUUCCCCUGGCUGGGUAACGGUGCGUGCGUGCCAGGAGCUAUUCAUUGUGGAUGAAGAAUGGUUUUGUGGUUAAAGCUCUGGGCUGUGCUGUGGGAGCUCUGAGCUCAGGCCCAGAUUCUUCUUCAAUUUCCCUGUGUGACUCUGAGCAAGUCAUUUAAUCUUUCAGUGCCUCAAUUCUCUUCUGGUAAAGUGGGAAUAAUCCCAUUUCCCUUCUUCCACCCUUUGCUUUUACAGUGUUUGUUUUCGCUGUUGCCUGUUCGCUGCCUCCAUGUGAUGUAGAAAGCCGGCCAGUAACCAGAGUGUUAAAACGUUAUAAAAACACAAAGAAGAAUUUCGUUUCACUCCAUUCUUCGUAUUUCUAUUCUAAGUUGAGGAAGAUAAAGCUUGAUGGCGAUGCAGGCUGUUUAUACGCAGUGAUCUAGUCGUCCCAGAAAGCGGUGUGGCCAAGAAAUUGAAACAAGAUCUUGUGAAGUGCCAUUGCAAAUAAAUCUGCUCGACUUCCCCUCUGUCAAGGCGUCUCACGCUAGGGAAGGCCACUGGGAGUCAUUAAUCGUAUAAUGGAUAUACUUGGUGCUUUAAAAGGGCUGGUUUCCCAAAGAUUAAAGCAAUUAGGAGCAAAGUGGUUUGAAAAGGAAAAAAAAAUAAGAAGAAGAAGAAAAAAGAAACAACCCCAGACCAAACAGUGCAAAUGAUAACCGGAACAGUUUAAGAAAACUUCAGCAGGGGCCGUAAAAGUCACAGUUGUGCAGUAGUGGCAGAGGACUUGGUCCUGAAACCCAAACACCCUUCCCCUCCUUCGGCUGAGUGUAAAAGGGAAAUGAAUGCUACAGUAAAAAUACGCGUGUGGAAACAGCCACAAAUGAAACUAAAAGUAAAAUAUGGAACAGAUAGUGGAAGUAGGAAUGAUUGGUAUUUAGGCAAUAAGGCUGCUGGUGAAGGGAAUUUGGUAAAAGUUGAUGCUGGGGAUGAUGGAAGUGCCACAGCAGCACAGAAAAGAUGGGAGAAGUCCCCAUUCAGCUGUUCCUGCUUUCAAAAAAGACUUGGAUGAUAUUUUAGAAGUUGCAGAGGUACUGAGCUGAUUGAUAUUCCUACAGCCGAGCUGUUGAGCAGCAGCUGCUGCAGGUUAGCCGACGAGGUGCCGGAGCCAGCCCUGACAAUUAACAACCUCCCAGCACCAGGUGGGUCCCAGACCCAUGGAGGUAAGGUGUUGGGUCAGCACUUACAAGGGUUACAAGGGCCAGAUCAGCAGCAGUGACCUGUUUAGCUGGGGAUUAAUUCAACAGAAAAUCAUGAGCGAGCUGCGAGCUGUCUGGCCGACAGCAGCACCUACUGCCUGUUCUUCGUGGGCAGAAGCCGAGGAAUGGUAAAGCUCCUGCCUACAAACCAAAAGGGCAAAUACCUGAUUCUUCUGAGCCUUCAGAACCUCCUGCCCCAAAUACAUACCCGUGGAAUCAGGGUGAGCACUGGACACCUAGAGAUGUAGCCGAGAGCUCCUUCUCUGUGCAGAAGCAAUUCACAACCACUCUGUUGCUUUUCCCAAGCAUCUUGCACUGUCAAGGUAGCUUCUCAUCUGUUUUCCUCCGAAGAGGGUGGCAAAAUGCCCUAAAUUCCUGGUGAGAUGGGCUAAGCCGUUCUGCACACCUCGGGAGGGUGCGCUCUGACAGCCCGUGCUUUGCCCUAUGGGGCCAUCCAGAAAUAACUUCAGCAGCACCGAGUUCAAACCCAGCAUUUAGGUUCCUUUGUGGGGAAAAGAGGGGGGAAAAAAAAGUGAUGAUUAACGCAGCAAGCAGCGGGUAAAAAGGCCUCUUCGUUUUUGACAGGUGCAUUGUGCAUUCUGGGCUGCCAGCCAAGGCACAUUGUCAUCAAAUGUUAAUCAAACCUGCAAAUAAUAUACAAAGUAUUAAAUUGUGCUUAUUCCCUGAGUAAUCUGAGACGGAAAUUUAUCAAACCUUGCUAUACGUUAAGGUCCUUUAAGAGGAGGAGAAGCAGAACUAUGAAGCUGAUAAAAGGGCUGGGGCCAGCACCCUGUUUGGGCAGAAUUAAGCGUUUCCAACCCCCGAGUGUUUUCCUUCAGCAUCGUUCAAUGUGAGCAGUUAAAUCCACGGGUAAAGGGGAGCAGGCAGGGAGAGGAACAUCAGAAAUCUCCCUCCAGCUGCAUGCUUAAAGCUGUAAUUUUUUGGUCUUCUGUGUGGCUGUGCCCUGAUUCAUAUGGACAAAAGCUGCAGGCCCCUGUCCCUGGCCUUUUACAUCAUCUUUUAUGUCUUUGAGUUGCUUUGUGCCCCGUGUAGACCCUGUAACCAAGGGCUCUCCUUCCCCUCCUGCUUUAUGGUGAUCUGAGAGAGGUGAAGCUGCCCCGUCCCCGGAGUGGUCUCUGCUGCGUUUGGAGCUGAUUUAGGAACGUGUUGAACCCAGAACUCUUACCUUUUACCCUAGGUCAUGAAUCUUUGCUGCGAGGGUGGCUUCUCAGGAUGCCAAGGGCCGUGUUCAGGUGUGAACGGGGCAGCUCUGGGUUACCCACAGCAGGCACGGCCGAGGGAGAUGCCGGGGCACUGCGCCCAUCCUGAGGGCUGCCGAUACGCCUCAGCACCCUGCCUGAUGGCUCUGCAAAUCUACCAGCGUGUGGCUUGAAGGUGUGGCCGCGGUGUUAAGCCCCAAACACAGCUGCUCCCACAGCUCCCAGCCUCCCGGCAGCAUUUCUCAGGCUGGACCCACGCGGCGUGCUGCGCCCGGCCCCCAGCACCCUGCGUGUGCUCCCGAGAGUUGUACUGAGCUUCCUGAGGCUCCUCCAUUGGGUGUGCUUUUACUCGUGGAGUCCUUCCCAGUUCUUUGCUCAAAGCCUACCCAGAAAGGAUUUUCCUUGAAAUAUUUCUCAGGAAUGGGCUUCUUUCCCAUACUUCGAGUGGGAGGGAUGGAUGGAUAUAACAUGAGCAUAACCGUGUGUAAAUGCAGGUGAGAACAAAACUCAUCCAGAAGCUCUACACCAAGGCUAGCUGAGCUCUGCAAUGAGACCUGUUCGUUUUCCUUUGGGGCCUUGAAGGAGAGCGGAGGUGUUGUCCUGGUGUACAAGGAGGGGCUGGCAAAGAGCUGAACCCGGAUCCUGCCUCUGCUGAGCAGCCCCCGUCUGCCCUCUCCCAGCCUCGUCUGCGCUUCUCAAGAAUGCGAUUGCUUCGCAGGCUGUCCCCUCAGCAAAGCAGAAAUGUAGCAACCCAAACUUUUCCUCCUCAAGAGUCUGCCUUGCCAAUGGCCUUUGUCAGGGCCAGGUUGUUAUCAGCGCGAUGCCUGAUGUUUACUUUUCAGUGCCAGUAAAUAAAUCUCAGGCCCGCUUGACCCCUCGCUCUUCAGCCUCCCCCAUGCUGAAAACAAAAAUGCUGCUCUGGAUACAAUCAACCAGUUCGGUUCAAGUCCUGCUUUUCAGGAUCUGAGUCUGAAACUGGUGGUCUCGGAGUCUCUUAAUGCCAUUAAAGCUCAGAUUUCAAAGAUGUGUGCCUUGGAGCUUUUGGGUUUGAUUUAAAGAUAAGCCACUCAGGCUAUGUUGAUCAAGGGAGUGUCUUUAUGUGAAUUUUCCUUUUCAAAUAAAUCCAGGCCAAGAUUUAUCGGAUCCUUCUAAAGGCAUGUGUUACUGGAAGACAUUCCUGCCUGCUUCCAGCUCUUCUCCCU